rnacentral:rRNA from 1 species
AGAGUUUGAUCAUGGCUCAGAAUCAACGCUGGCGGCGCGCCUAACACAUGCAAGUCGAACGAGAAAGUGGAGCAAUCCAUGAGUACAGUGGCGUACGGGUGAGUAACACGUGGGUGAUCUACCUCUUAGUGAGGAAUAACCCUGGGAAACCGGGGCUAAUACCGCAUAAGCCUUAGCAGGGAAAGUCGAAAGACGCUGAGAGAGGAGCCCGCGGCCGAUUAGCUAGUUGGUGAGGUAAAAGCCCACCAAGGCAGAGAUCGGUAGCCGGCCUGAGAGGGCACACGGCCACACUGGCACUGAAACACGGGCCAGACUCCUACGGGAGGCAGCAGUGGGGAAUCUUGCACAAUGGGGGAAACCCUGAUGCAGCGACGCCGCGUGAGCGAUGAAGCCCUUCGGGGCGUAAAGCUCUUUCGUCAGGGAAGAUAGUGACGGUACCUGGAGAAGCAGCUGCGGCUAACUACGUGCCAGCAGCCGCGGUAAUACGUAGGCAGCAAGCGUUGUUCGGAGUUACUGGGCGUAAAGGGUGUGUAGGCGGUUCUUUAAGUUUGGUGUGAAAUCUCCCGGCUCAACCGGGAGGGUGCGCCGAAUACUGAGGGACUAGAGUGCGGGAGAGGAAAGUGGAAUUCCUGGUGUAGCGGUGAAAUGCGUAGAUAUCAGGAGGAACACCGGUGGUGUAGACGGCUUUCUGGACCGUAACUGACGCUGAGACACGAAAGCGUGGGUAGCAAACAGGAUUAGAUACCCUAGUAGUCC